rnacentral:rRNA from 1 species
GUGCCAGCCGCCGCGGUAUACGUAGGGGGCAAGCGUUGUCCGGAUUUAUUGGGCGUAAAGAGCGUGUAGGCGGCUAGGUAGGUCCGUUGUGAAAACUCGAGGCUCAACCUCGAGACGUCGAUGGAAACCAUCUAGCUAGAGUCCGGAAGAGGAGAGUGGAAUUCCUGGUGUAGCGGUGAAAUGCGCAGAUAUCAGGAAGAACACCCGUGGCGAAGGCGGCUCUCUGGUACGUGACUGACGCUGAGACGCGAAAGCGUGGGGAGCAAACAGGAUUAGAUACCCUGGUAGUCCACGCCGUAAACGAUGGGUGCUAGGUGUGGGGGGUGUCGACUCCCUCCGUGCCGAAGCUAACGCAUUAAGCACCCCGCCUGGGGAGUACGGCCGCAAGGCUAAA